UGCCAGCAGCCGCGGUAAUACGGAGGGUGCAAGCGUUAUCCGGAAUCACUGGGCGUAAAGGGUCCGCAGGCUGUUUGUUAAGUCAGGGGUGAAAUCCUACCGCUCAACGGUAGAACUGCCUUUGAUACUGGCAAACUUGAGUUAUUGUGAAGUAGUUAGAAUGUGUAGUGUAGCGGUGAAAUGCAUAGAUAUACACAGAAUACCAAUUGCGAAGGCAGAUUACUAACAAUUAACUGACGCUGAGGGACGAAAGCGUGGGUAGCGAACGGGAUUAGAUA
rnacentral:rRNA from 1 species